ACUCCUACGGGAGGCAGCAGUGGGGAAUUUUGGACAAUGGGGGCAACCCUGAUCCAGCCAUUCCGCGUGAGUGAAGAAGGCCUUCGGGUUGUAAAGCUCUUUCGGCAGGAACGAAACGGCGGGCUCUAACAUAGCCUGUUAAUGACGGUACCUGAAGAAGAAGCACCGGCUAACUACGUGCCAGCAGCCGCGGUAAUACGUAGGGUGCGAGCGUUAAUCGGAAUUACUGGGCGUAAAGCGUGCGCAGGCGGUUGUGUAAGACAGGUGUGAAAUCCCCGGGCUUAACCUGGGAACUGCGCUUGUGACUGCACGGCUAGAGUACGGCAGAGGGGGGUGGAAUUCCACGUGUAGCAGUGAAAUGCGUAGAGAUGUGGAGGAACACCGAUGGCGAAGGCAGCCCCCUGGGCCGAUACUGACGCUCAUGCACGAAAGCGUGGGGAGCAAACAGGAUUAGAUACCCUGGUAGUC
rnacentral:rRNA from 1 species